GUGAUGCAGUGGUGGCAGUCGAAGUCGCAUGCCAAUCCGCAUCCAUAGAAUCCACGGCCAUAGCCACAGCUGUCAUCUAAGCGAGAACGACUGCGUUGCACUGUGUUAAGCUCGAGAUGCUUGUAUUCGUUGAAUAUGAAGUGGACAUGACCACUGCGGUUGUCAGGCACACCGCAGUGCAAAACUUUAACCCAGAGAAUGUCGUGGAUUUCGAUCCAAUUGUCCUCUACGACGUGUGGUGGAACGGCGAUGCGACAGAGUGCUGCACAUGGCUGAAACUGAAGAAAUGGUGCUGCACACGUCGAAAAGGCUCAGAAAUCUGUCCUUAGAAAAGGGCAAGAGCACCAAAGGAAUUAUAACUGCCAUGGCCUCUAUGGCACCUUUGUCACAGGAGCAUGCUGACAUGGACAUAUUCACUGGAGAGGCCAUCGAUGUUGUCAUCGGAUCCUCAAGAGAUGACGGAAAGGUGUAUGCUGGAUCCGGGCAAUGAAUAGAAAAGGCUGCUUGGGGGACAUUGUUGCGGUCUACGUCUAUGUUCUGCCGUAUGGCGUCCACAACGUAUUGGAUGCCAGAUGAGCUUAAGAACAGAAGCGUGACCGGGACUUUGUCCAACAAGUCGCGAUCCAAGGGAAGGACUGAGGCCAGACCAGCCGUGACACCACAAAAGUUGUCAUCCUUGAAAAGUAUAUGAACAUACUGUUCUAAUGAACUGAUCUACUCAUGUAUAGAUGGCACAUGCAAAUAGCCACAGUAAAAGCGAAGCUAGUGCUAAAGCACUGUGUUGCGAUCAUCUGCUACUGAAAUAUUUCAUGUUAAAACUGUAGAAAGAAUUUGAGGCAUGUGAGUUAACAUGAAAAAAGUAAUCUGCAGUUUGGUUAUUGAAAAUGCAGCUUUGCAAAAAUAUUUCAUUGAACCGUGGGCAUAUUGUUGGGAACUUGCACUGUGCAUGCUGGAAAUUAUUGUUUAGAUGCUUUCAUUAAUUUUGUACUCGUGAUUGCUUUUCUUGCGCAGGCCUCCUCCGGAUCUUCAUAGGCAACCGUGUCAUGCCGGAAGACGAGAAAAAAAAAGAUUGAAAGAAGUGCGCAGGCAAUUGGUGCAGAAACUCGCUGACGCGCCAAGAAGGUAGUGCUACUGGUACUGAUUGCUACGGGGCUUGUCCCAAAAGUUUGUGCACUGAGCCAGCAAAAACGCGGCAGAGAAUGUAGUGACAUGAACUGCUCAAACUUCUGGGACAGACUUUGUAUAUUUACCUUACCAGCUUAGCACUUCUACCUUUCUUUGUGGAGUUAGUGCUUACCGUAUUUACUAAAAAAUAGGUCCAACAUGAGUAUAGGUCGACCACUAUAUAUUGAAUUAGUUGAGAAAUUUAGAAAAUUUUAGUUUGAAUUAAGUCAGCCAAUAUCUUUCUUUAGCAGUAGUAGUGUAAACUUAAAUUAUUUCUCUUAAGGGUCUUGGGUGGUGGGUGGGUGCCUCAGUUUAGAGCUCCAUUGGUCUCUGCAGCUUGCUGGGCUUGAUCGAGAAGAGCUCUCUGGCUCUCUAGAUUUUCGCUAGCAAGCCAAACGUCCCGGGACGCUGCCUGUUGCUUGGAAUUUGUGCCGUUAGGGGGUGAAUUUAGAAUUUGGAAGUCGUUGCUUACAUAUCCACAUUACAGGACGAGACUUGGCCCACCAAGGGAAGUGGCAGGGUGUAUGCAUCUUGUGAAGUAUUUGGAUGUAUGGAUAUGCGUGGAGGACCACACAAAUAGCGAAGGAACGAAAAAGAUUAGGUCUAUCUUAAAGAGAUGGGAAGAGUGUGGAUCAGAGAGCAAAUGGCGAUAGCCGAUAUUCUUGUUAACAUUAAGAGGGGAAAUGGAACUGGGCAGGCCAUGUAAUGCGUAGGAUGGAUAACCGGUGGAUCAUUGGUUACAAAAUGGAUACCAAGAAAGGGAAGCGCAGUCGAGGAUGGCAGAAAACUAGGUGGGGGGAUGAAGUUAGGAAAUUUGCAGGCGCAAGUUGGAAUCUGCUAGCGCAGGACAGGGGUAAUGGAGAUCGCAGGGAGAGGCCUUCGUCCUGCAGUGGACAUAAGUAUAGGUUGAUGAUGAUGUGUGUUUGUAAGAAGAGCCAGUACCUGGCCUGUUUCCCUGUACGGUCUGGGUGUAGGUGGCUGUAUUUUUGUCUCUUUGGUCUCCGAGGAUGUCGUGCUGGUGGAUCAGGGGUAUUCCAGUAAAACACGUUGUGGGGCUAGUUGGUGCAUAGCUUUCAAAAGAUGAAGCGCCAACAGUGACAGCACAUUAGGAAGGAACAAAGACAGGACAGGCGCUACUUGCAACUGUUUAUUGUGGUCAAAGGUGGUUGAAUAUAUAGCCAUGGGGAGAGGGGGGGACGAAAAAGGCGGAACACUGAUUGUAUGAAUGCGCACGCGUGAGAACACUGAAGAUGUGCAUGAAGGAAAUGGCGAAUCUAAAACUUAUCUAAAAACACACUUUCAUUUGUGUAUAUAUUCAGAGACGGGGAGCUGACACAUGUUUCCCCUCUCUUCCUAAUCUGGUUGGCCUCCAACAAUUCACGUGCCACAGAGUCUUUACUUUUAAACAAGAUUGUAGUAUCUUGAAGCCUUGCUUCACAUGCUUGUUUAUUUUCAUUGCCGCAGGCCUUG